GUCUAGCUGAUGUGUCCCAACUAGGACGAGACAUACGUCCUAGAU
rnacentral:hammerhead_ribozyme from 1 species